rnacentral:rRNA from 1 species
GGGUUGUGAGGUUAAGCGACUAAGCGUACACGGUGGAUGCCCUGGCAGUCAGAGGCGAUGAAGGACGUGCUAAUCUGCGAAAAGCGUCGGUAAGGUGAUAUGAACCGUUAUAGCCGGCGAUGUCCGAAUGGGGAAACCCAGUGCAAUUCGUUGCACUAUCGUUAACUGAAUACAUAGGUUAACGAGGCGAACCGGGGAACUGAAACAUCUAAGUACCCCGAGGAAAAGAAAUCAACCGAGAUUCCCCAGUAGCGGCGAGCGAACGGGGAGCAGCCCGGAGUCUGAAUCAGCUUGUGUGUUAGUGGAAGCGUCUGGAAAGUCGCAGGGUACAGGGUGAUACUCCCGUACACUAAAGCACACAGGUUGUGAACUCGAAGAGUAGGGCGGGACACGUGGUAUCCUGUCUGAAUAUGGGGGACCAUCCUCCAAGGCUAAAUACUCCUGACUGACCGAUAGUGAACCAGUACCGUGAGGGAAAGGCGAAAAGAACCCCGGCGAGGGGAGUGAAAAGAACCUGAAACCGUGUACGUACAAGCAGUAGGAGCCUCUUUAUGGGGUGACUGCGUACCUUUUGUAUAAUGGGUCAGCGACUUAUAUUCUGUAGCAAGGUUAACCGUAUAGGGGAGCCGCAGGGAAACCGAGUCUUAACUGGGCGUUAAGUUGCAGGGUAUAGACCCGAAACCCGGUGAUUAGCCAUGGGCAGGUUGAAGGUUGGGUAACACUAACUGGAGGACCGAACCGACUAAUGUUGAAAAAUUAGCGGAUGACUUGUGGCUGGGGUGAAAGGCCAAUCAAACCGGGAGAUAGCUGGUUCUCCCCGAAAGCUAUUUAGGUAGCGCCUCGUGAACUCAUCUUCGGGGGUAGAGCACUGUUUCGGCUAGGGGUCAUCCCGACUUACCAACCCGAUGCAAACUACGAAUACCGAAGAAUGUUAUCACGGGAGACACACGGCGGGUGCUAACGUCCGUCGUGAAGAGGGAAACAACCCAGACCGCCAGCUAAGGUCCCAAAGUCAUGGUUAAGUGGGAAACGAUGUGGGAAGGCCCAGACAGCCGGGAUGUUGGCUUAGAAGCAGCCAUCAUUUAAAGAAAGCGUAAUAGCUCACUGGUCGAGUCGGCCUGCGCGGAAGAUGUAACGGGCUAAACCAUGCACCGAAGCUGCGGCAGCGACACUAUGUGUUGUUGGGUAGGGGAGCGUUCUGUAAGCCGUUGAAGGUGGCCUGUGAGGGUUGCUGGAGGUAUCAGAAGUGCGAAUGCUGACAUAAGUAACGAUAAUGCGGGUGAAAAACCCGCACGCCGGAAGACCAAGGGUUCCUGUCCAACGUUAAUCGGGGCAGGGUGAGUCGACCCCUAAGGCGAGGCCGAAAGGCGUAGUCGAUGGGAAACAGGUUAAUAUUCCUGUACUCGGUGUUACUGCGAAGGGGGGACGGAGAAGGCUAUGUUGGCCGGGCGACGGUUGUCCCGGUUUAAGCAUGUAGGCGGAUGUUCCAGGUAAAUCCGGAACGUUAUUAACGCUGAGGUGUGAUGACGAGGCACUACGGUGCUGAAGUGACAAAUGCCCUGCUUCCAGGAAAAGCCUCUAAGCAUCAGGUAACAUCAAAUCGUACCCCAAACCGACACAGGUGGUCAGGUAGAGAAUACCAAGGCGCUUGAGAGAACUCGGGUGAAGGAACUAGGCAAAAUGGUGCCGUAACUUCGGGAGAAGGCACGCUGAUAUGUAGGUGAAGUGGUUUACCCAUGGAGCUGAAAUCAGUCGAAGAUACCAGCUGGCUGCAACUGUUUAUUAAAAACACAGCACUGUGCAAACACGAAAGUGGACGUAUACGGUGUGACGCCUGCCCGGUGCCGGAAGGUUAAUUGAUGGGGUUAUCCGUAAGGAGAAGCUCUUGAUCGAAGCCCCGGUAAACGGCGGCCGUAACUAUAACGGUCCUAAGGUAGCGAAAUUCCUUGUCGGGUAAGUUCCGACCUGCACGAAUGGCGUAAUGAUGGCCAGGCUGUCUCCACCCGAGACUCAGUGAAAUUGAACUCGCUGUGAAGAUGCAGUGUACCCGCGGCAAGACGGAAAGACCCCGUGAACCUUUACUAUAGCUUGACACUGAACACUGGUCCUUGAUGUGUAGGAUAGGUGGGAGGCUUUGAAGCGUGGACGCCAGUCUGCGUGGAGCCAUCCUUGAAAUACCACCCUUUAAUGGCUGGUGUUCUAACGUGGGCCCGUUAUCCGGGUUGCGGACAGUGUCUGGUGGGUAGUUUGACUGGGGCGGUCUCCUCCUAAAGAGUAACGGAGGAGCACGAAGGUCAGCUAAUCCUGGUCGGACAUCAGGAGGUUAGUGCAAUGGCAUAAGCUGGCUUGACUGCGAGCGUGACGGCGCGAGCAGGUGCGAAAGCAGGUCAUAGUGAUCCGGUGGUUCUGAAUGGAAGGGCCAUCGCUCAACGGAUAAAAGGUACUCCGGGGAUAACAGGCUGAUACCGCCCAAGAGUUCAUAUCGACGGCGGUGUUUGGCACCUCGAUGUCGGCUCAUCACAUCCUGGGGCUGAAGUAGGUCCCAAGGGUAUGGCUGUUCGCCAUUUAAAGUGGUACGCGAGCUGGGUUUAGAACGUCGUGAGACAGUUCGGUCCCUAUCUGCCGUGGGCGCUGGAGAAUUGAGGGGGGCUGCUCCUAGUACGAGAGGACCGGAGUGGACGCAUCACUGGUGUUCGGGUUGUCAUGCCAAUGGCAUUGCCCGGUAGCUAAAUGCGGAAGAGAUAAGUGCUGAAAGCAUCUAAGCACGAAACUUGCCCCGAGAUGAGUUCUCCCUGACUCCUUGAGAGUCCUGAAGGAACGUUGAAGACGACGACGUUGAUAGGCCGGGUGUGUAAGCGCAGCGAUGCGUUGAGCUAACCGGUACUAAUGAACCGUGAGGCUUAACCUUACAACGCCGAAG